UACGUAGGGGGCAAGCGUUGUCCGGAAUCAUUGGGCGUAAAGAGCGUGUAGGCGGUUCGGUAAGUCUGCCGUGAAAUCCUGGGGCUCAACCCCGGGCGUGCGGUGGAUACUGCCGGGCUAGAGGGUGGUAGAGGCGAGUGGAAUUCCUGGUGUAGCGGUGAAAUGCGCAGAUAUCAGGAGGAACACCGAUUGCGAAGGCAGCUCGCUGGGACGUUACUGACGCUGAGACGCGAAAGCGUGGGGAGCAAACAGG
rnacentral:rRNA from 1 species